UACGGAGGGUGCAAGCGUUAUCCGGAUUCACUGGGUUUAAAGGGUGCGUAGGUGGGUCUGUAAGUCAGUGGUGAAAUCUCCAAGCUUAACUUGGAAACUGCCAUUGAUACUAUGGGUCUUGAAUAUCCUGGAGGUGAGCGGAAUAUGUCAUGUAGCGGUGAAAUGCUUAGAUAUGACUAGAACACCAAUUGCGAAGGCAGCUCACUACGGGAUUAUUGACACUGAGGCACGAAAAGCGUGGGGAGUCAAACAGGA
rnacentral:rRNA from 1 species